UACGUAGGGGGCAAGCGUUGUCCGGAAUUAUUGGGCGUAAAGAGCGUGUAGGCGGUCCGGUAAGUCGGCUGUGAAGGCCCAGGGCUCAACCCUGGGAUGCCGGUCGAUACUGCCGGACUAGAGUUCGGAAGAGGCGAGUGGAAUUCCCGGUGUAGCGGUGAAAUGCGCAGAUAUCGGGAGGAACACCUAUGGCGAAGGCAGCUCGCUGGGACGUUACUGACGCUGAGACGCGAAAGCGUGGGGAGCAAACAGG
rnacentral:rRNA from 1 species